UACGUAGGGGGCUAGCGUUGUCCGGAAUCAUUGGGCGUAAAGCGCGCGUAGGCGGCCCGGUAAGUCCGCUGUAAAAGUCCAGGGCUCAACCCUGGAAAGCCGGUGGAUACUGUCGGGCUCGAGUCCGGAAGAGGCGAGUGGAAUUCCUGGUGUAGCGGUGGAACGCGCAGAUAUCAGGAGGAACACCGAUGGCGAAGGCAGCUCGCUGGGACGUUACUGACGCUGAGACGCGAAAGCGUGGGGAGCAAACAGG
rnacentral:rRNA from 1 species